UACGGAGGGUGCUAGCGUUGUUCGGAAUUAUUGGGCGUAAAGAGCGUGUAGGCGGCCGGGUAAGUCAGAUGUGAAAGCCCUUGGCUUAACCAAGGAAGUGCAUUUGAAACUGCUCGGCUUGAGUACGGGAGGGGGAAGCGGAAUUCCCGGUGUAGAGGUGAAAUUCGUAGAUAUCGGGAGGAACACCGGUGGCGAAGGCGGCUUCCUGGACCGAUACUGACGCUGAGACGCGAAAGCGUGGGGAGCAAAC
rnacentral:rRNA from 1 species